GGGAAAAAACUCCUUGACAUGGGUCUUGGCAAUAAUUUUUCAAAUUUGACACCAAAAGCACAGGCAACAAAGCAAACAUGCAGGUGGGACUAAAUGGACUAAGAAGUUUUUGCACAGCUAAGGAAACAAUGAGCAACAUGAAAGGAAGCCAGCUAUCAUGUUGUGGGCUGUCCUGUGGAGACACCAUGUGACAAGUACCUGAGGGAAGCCUCGAUCCAAUAGCCAAUGAACAGUUGAGACUUUCAGUCUAAUGACUCGUGAGAGACCAGGUCCAACCCCAUGAGUGUGUUUGGAGAUUUGUGACUGCAGCCCUGUAUGACACCUUGAUUGCCUCCUUCGGAACGACCGUGAGCCACAUGGCCCAGUUAAACCAGACCCAGGUACCUGACCCACAAAAACUAUGGAAUAAUAAAUGUUGUCUUGAGCCAUUAA